rnacentral:rRNA from 1 species
CAGCAGCCGCGGUAAAACGAAGGGUGCAAGCGUUACUCGGAAUUACUGGGCGUAAAGCGUGCGUAGGUGGUUGUUUAAGUCUGCUGUGAAAGCCCUGGGCUCAACCUGGGAAUUGCAGUGGAUACUGGGUCACUAGAGUGUGGUAGAGGAUAGUGGAAUUUCCGGUGUAGCAGUGAAAUGCGUAGAGAUCGGAAGGAACAUCUGUGGCGAAGGCGACUAUCUGGGCCAACACUGACACUGAGGCACGAAAGCGUGGGGAGCAAACAGGAUUAGAUACCCGCGUAGUCCCUGUCUCUUAUAA